rnacentral:lncRNA from 1 species
CAGGAGUCCUGACGAGAGUUCAGCGAGACAACUGGAGUCCAGAAGAUCUGGGGUCCAUAUCAGUGGCCUGGGCUGAGUUGGGAGACCUGGAAGAACUAAGAAGGAGACAAGGAACAUCAGUACACCACCUCUCACACUAGAGAUGCUCCACCUCCAACAUACUCAGCUGACUCUGCUGACUCCCUGGAUCUUCCUGAGCUGAUCCAGCCAGCUAAAGCACUUCCAU